rnacentral:snRNA from 1 species
GUGCUCACUUUGGCAGCAUCUUUACUAAGAAUGCAGCAAUACAGAGACGGUUAGCAUGGCUCCUGCACAAGGAUGACAUGCAAUUCGUGGAGCAGCUCAUAUUUUUA